ensembl:lncRNA
GUCCACUUCACUGCAGAGCCGACCUGCACACGGGGCCAUCUGGGUCCCACAGCGGAGACUCAGCACAAGCCCGAGUCCAUGGCACCAGGAGGCGGCUGUGGAGCUGUUGCCGCGGAGAGGUGUUAGGACAGCUGAUUUUACAGCCUGACGCUGCCUCUGUGAUUCCUUACCUUCCUCUUGACUGUGGGUGGUGCCAGAACCUCCACAGAGUGGCCAGUUUGCUUCACCCGAGGAACUGCCUGACCAGCAAGGCUGGGGCCACCCCUGAGAGCACAGCCAUCACCAGCAAGAGCCUGCCUUGUAGCCUGCCAGGGAAGCACUCUUGCUGUCUUAAAUAAUUCUAUGAAGAUUCUAAAGAGCAGAGUGAGUACCAAGCAGUUUUGCUGGGAAACUGGGUCUGAGUCUUAUGUGCUGUGUGAAGGCAUUCCACACAUGGUGAGUGAAAAGUCCAUGAAGAGAUAAAUGCACAUGCGGCAAGAACCUCACACCUUUACUACUAAGUCUAGAAGAUGAGACCGCUGACAUGAGUUGAGCUUCAAUUUCUCCAACUUGCAUUGUACUGUGACAAGAAAUGUGGUUCUGUGUGAUGGGCAUGUGAUACUGACAUGCUUCUUCUCUGGCACAUCAGGACAAUUCAAAGAGGAGCCAAUAAAAACUAGCAAAAUAUGUAAUUUGAUUCUUUUGAAAUAUCUGUCAAUGUCUGAGGAAGACACAGAGUUGCAGGCAGCACUAUGUCAUGAGACAUCAUGACCUUUAUCUUUGCUUGGGUUAUUCCAAUAAGGACAUGGUAAGGCACAGUGUCUUCAAUGGAAAAACAGAUGUCUCCUAGUCUAUUUUCUCAUUUACUCUUCACAAGGAAUAUCAUAGGUAUGUUCUCACGCCGUGGCUAUGUGCCUAGCUUUGGGGCCAGGCAAACAGUCUUCAGGUCAAAGCUAAAGAUUUUGGAGCUGGG